rnacentral:rRNA from 1 species
GAUGAACGCUGGCUACAGGCUUAACACAUGCAAGUCGAGGGGAAACGGCAUUGAGUGCUUGCACUGAAUGGACGUCGACCGGCGCACGGGUGAGUAACGCGUAUCCAACCUUCCCGUUACUGCGGGAUAACCUGCCGAAAGGCAGACUAAUACCGCAUGUUCUUCGAUGACGGCAUCAGAUUCGAAGCAAAGAUCCGUCGGUAACGGAGGGGGAUGCGUCUGAUUAGCUAGUUGGCGGGGCGACGGCCCACCAAGGCGACGAUCAGUAGGGGUUCUGAGAGGAAGGUCCCCCACAUUGGAACUGAGACACGGUCCAAACUCCUACGGGAGGCAGCAGUGAGGAAUAUUGGUCAAUGGGCGGAAGCCUGAACCAGCCAAGUAGCGUGCAGGAUGACGGCCCUACGGGUUGUAAACUGCUUUUAUGCGGGGAUAAAGUGAGGGACGCGUCCCUUUUUGCAGGUACCGCAUGAAUAAGGACCGGCUAAUUCCGUGCCAGCAGCCGCGGUAAUACGGAAGGUCCGGGCGUUAUCCGGAUUUAUUGGGUUUAAAGGGAGCGUAGGCCGGGGAUUAAGUGUGUUGUGAAAUGUAGGCGCCCAACGUCUGACUUGCAGCGCAUACUGGUUCCCUUGAGUACGCGCAACGCCGGCGGAAUUCGUCGUGUAGCGAUGAAAUGCUUAGAUAUGACGAAGAACCCCGAUUGCGAAGGCAGCCGGCGGGAGCGCAACUGACGCUGAAGCUCGAAGGUGCGGGUAUCGAACAGG